GGCGGCAUGCCUAACACAUGCAAGUCGAACGAGGUCCGGAGCUUGCUCCGGGUGCCUAGUGGCGAACGGGUGAGUAACGCGUGGGAACCUGCCCUGGAGUGGGGAACAACCUUUGGAAACGGAGGCUAAUACCGCAUACGCUCUACGGAGGAAAGGCUUCGGCCGCUCUUGGAUGGUCCCGCGUCUGAUUAGCUUGUCGGUGGGGUAAUGGCCUACCAAGGCGACGAUCAGUAGCUGGUCUGAGAGGAUGAUCAGCCACACUGGGACUGAGACACGGCCCAGACUCCUACGGGAGGCAGCAGUGGGGAAUAUUGGACAAUGGGGGAAACCCUGAUCCAGCAAUGCCGCGUGAGUGAAGAAGGCCUUAGGGUUGUAAAACUCUUUCGCCGGUGAAGAUGAUGACUGUAGCCGGUAAAGAAGCCCCGGCUAACUCCGUGCCAGCAGCCGCGGUAAUACGGAGGGGGCUAGCGUUGUUCGGAUUUACUGGGCGUAAAGCGCACGUAGGCGGCAUAUUAAGUUAGAGGUGAAAGGCCCGGGCUCAACCUGGGAACGGCCUUUGAUACUGGUAUGCUUGAGUUCGGAAGAGGGUAGUGGAAUUCCAAGUGUAGAGGUGAAAUUCGUAGAUAUUUGGAAGAACACCGGUGGCGAAGGCGGCUACCUGGUCCGAUACUGACGCUGAGGUGCGAAAGCGUGGGGAGCGAACAGGAUUAGAUACCCUGGUAGUCCACGCCGUAAACGAUGAGUGCUAGUUGUCGGAUGCAUGCAUUUCGUGACGUAGUUAA
rnacentral:rRNA from 1 species